rnacentral:rRNA from 1 species
UACGUAGGGCGCAAGCGUUGUCCGGAAUUAUUGGGCGUAAAGAGCUCGUAGGCGGUUUGUCGCGUCUGGUGUGAAAUCCCGAGGCUCAACCUCGGGCCUGCAGUGGGUACGGGCAGACUAGAGUGCGGUAGGGGAGAGUGGAAUUCCUGGUGUAGCGGUGGAAUGCGCAGAUAUCAGGAGGAACACCGAUGGCGAAGGCAGAUCUCUGGGCCGUAACUGACGCUGAGGAGCGAAAGCGUGGGGAGCGAACAGG